CCUCCAGACUCCUACGGGAGGCAGCAGUGAGGAAUAUUGGUCAAUGGGCGGAAGCCUGAACCAGCCAAGUCGCGUGAGGGAUGACGGCCCUACGGGUUGUAAACCUCUUUUGUCGGGGAGCAAAGAGAGUCACGUGUGGCUCAUUGAGAGUACCCGAAGAAAAAGCAUCGGCUAACUCCGUGCCAGCAGCCGCGGUAAUACGGAGGAUGCGAGCGUUAUCCGGAUUUAUUGGGUUUAAAGGGUGCGCAGGCGGCACGGCAAGCCGGCGGUGAAAUCGCGGGGCUCAACCCCGCCCAGCCGUCGGAACUGCCGGGCUAGAGUGGGCGAGAAGUGCGCGGAAUGCGUGGUGUAGCGGUGAAAUGCAUAGAUAUCACGCAGAACUCCGAUUGCGAAGGCAGCGCACCGGCGCCCUACUGACGCUCAGGCACGAAAGCGUGGGUAUCGAACAGGAUUAGGUACCCGAGUA
rnacentral:rRNA from 1 species